UAAACCACAUUUCAGCUCCUCCGUCGUUGACAUUACUGUUUCAAUUCCUUCUGUUGUUGAGCCUUUGCAAAUCCUUCCUCACUGAUCGAUCUUGCAAAUCCUUUCUGUUUCUUUUAGCUUACAGAGCUUCAUUCUCCAAUUUUUACAACAAAUUGAAGGUUGUUUUACAAUUAAGAGCACCCUGGUCUUCUGAAAUAUUGUAUAACAGCUAAUUUUGAUAGAUUUGAAGAACUCUGAAGUGUUGAUGUCGCACGUAGUCAGCUAGUCGCCUCCAUCUCAGAUCUAUCCUCCGUUGUCAUCGACUAUCUCGUCUUGCCAGGUAACCUUUCACCAUUUCUAAGUUAUUCUGUUAUUCCUCUCUUCAUCUGAGCUUAACUCUUAACUCAAAUAUACUUAGGAAAUAUAAUAGUUUGUAGAACUUUCCUGAACAUAGCUGCUGUCCAUUCACCUCUCCACAUGCGUUUCAAUGGUGAAAUGGAGCUGAUUUCUUUGUCCGCUUGAAACCGGUUCAACACAAAGUAUUUUUGAAAGUAUUGUGACCACUGUCGUGCUGCAUGAGAUAUACUUUCGAUUGGACAGUUAAGUUCCACUUCUUUCUUUAAUUUUAUCUCAAAUCAGUGGAUUGAGAUUCUAUUGAAGCUAAUACCACCACUUAGUCCAAGAAAAUUCAAAGAAAUUGAUGAACUUAUUUCUUAAACUUGUGCUACAGUCUUACCCCAACUCAAAAUCGAAACUUACAUUUUGAUUACAGUGAACCAAUAUUUGAAUAUGCAAUUAUUCGACACCUUAAGCUCUCACCAGGUACAGAUCUUCGUAUUCGUAGAUUUAUGUAUAAUACAGGUACUAUCUAAUCUCUAUAAGCCCCAAUUUCGAAUUAUUGAUCAUUCUAUUUCAUCCCUUGCAUGCGUGUUGAUAUAUCUCCCUAUUCUGGUACAUAGUUGCCGAGAUAAUAUAGACAUUAUCCUAACAUAGUUCUUUGUUGUCUUCCUUAUUGUUGUUUUUGUAUAGAGUGAACUAUUGUAUUAUUUGUUUGAUUCAUCAGCAGCUUUUCAGGAUUUAUAGUAUUUAUUUUUUUUCUGAAAGAAAAUGGAAAAACCACUAUGAGAUUGUAUGUAGUGGCAAACAACUAAUAGCUUAUUUUAUAGUUGUUUCCUUUUCUUUUUCGUGAAAUGUCGAUAUCAUGGUUGUUACAGGAUAAGAAUUGGCUACCAGUUACUCAAUGCAGACACUAAAUUCACCGACUAAUAACACCUUUCCCAGAGAGCCAGCCAAUUUUGAUGAGGUUUCUAUGCAUCAAAGCAGAAUUUUUUACCAAUAUUAUCCUUAUUGUUUCACUCAAGCUUUCACCACAUCCUUAUGUUAUUUCAGUUAAAUGAAAACAUCCUCCAAAUUUUCAAAAGUUAUCCAAAAACAUCCUUCCAUUAAGUGUUAUGUUAGUAUUAAUGUUGAUCCGUUUGUUGCAUGAGUUGGUUUCAUUUUCUUAAAGGAAUGUCGGAUACAUGCACUUAACGAAUUUACCAUUCGUCCUGUUAAAGGUGUAUUUUAUGUUUCUCUAACUUUUGUUGCAACAGGAUAUCCGUUGAAGUCAUUUAAGUUCAUUAAGACCAAAAAACUUUUCACGGGUUUACCUGAUCUGAAGUUUGUGCAUUUGAAUUCAAGGACCCCAUGAUGGUGAAUGGACUCAAAAACUGUAAUCUCCAUAGAGAGACCUUAAGCUUCUCCCUGAACAAUUGAGAAUUAUUUUUACUUUCAUUGACUGCAAAGCUGGCAGUAAAACAAAGAGGAAAAUAAAAAGUUAAUCAUAUUUGACAGUUACCUGCUUAACUGAAAAUAUUUAUCAGGUAAAUAAAGAGUUUUGGUUAUUACCUUGACUCUUUUACUCUAUCAAAGUGCUACUUUGUGUCAUGCUAAAAGAGUUCAAGGUAAUGACCAUGACAGAGAUGGAGAAAGAAAGGAGGAUAAAAUGAUACCUUUGUAAUAUUGUUAGUCAUUUGAUAUCUCCUCUGUUGUGUUAGUUGAUUCUUUGUCGCUUUUACUCCCCACUCUUCUCGAUCCCACUGUGUAGGAAUACACUGAAUAUGUUGUUGUUGUUGUUGUAUUUUUUUUCCCAAAAUAUGGUGCACUAUGUUGUCUUGAGUUGUGUACUGAGGUUUCCUUUUCUCUUGAUAUAUAAGUCACGGGUAUUCUUCCAUGUUGCUUGCUUUCGUAAUGACUACAUUUUUUGAAUUAAAAAUAUCACAUGGAGUAACUUUACAUUCUACAUGGUACAUGUUUAAGUAGAACAGAUUCAGCGUUGGCUAAAAAACAGAAUGUCUGGUGCUAAAAAAAUACUUCUAUUGAAUGGCAUGUCGGGGUUAGGGAAGACUCAUCAGCAAAGGUGGUUAGUUAGUUGCUGGAUUUCAAACCAUCAAGGUAUUUUCCUUUAAAACUUUAAAAAUUUUCGAACUGUAAUUUAAUAAUUUUUUGCCAACACGUACAUUCCUGUUGGAUUAGCAUAACAGUACUUUUAUGCAUAAUAUAAUACCAAAUGCAUGAAACAUAAAUUGGUAUUGAGUACAGAAAGUAUAGCGCAAUAAGAUGAUAUCAAAAUAUGAAAACUUGAAUAAAUUGUAAUUGUCACCAUCUAAACAUCCAUAAUAUAAAUCAAAUGCUGAAAUUAAUCACUA